AUGGGAAAGAAAAGACAGAGAGAAGAAGAAGAGGGUGAAAAGGAAGAAGUCAUAGAAGAGAAUGUGGCAAAGAAGGAGAAGGAAGAAAAUGAAGAACUACAUGACAAGAAGAGAUUAGCCAGCAAACCCCUCCUGGACACCCUUUGGGCAACGUUUAAAUUAAUCAGAUUCCCCACAAGAGGAGUUAUUUCCUCCCUGGCUUUUGAAUUCAGCGUGACAGAAACACAGAUAAAUCAAUGGUUUCGUCAGAAGAGGAAGCUAUACAAAAGAGAAAUAUACAAGAGAUGGAAGAGGUAAGAAUGCUCCCUAUGUAGAACCCAAAGUGGAAAAGGAAUGGAUUGAUCUCUGGGGACAUGUUGGGCUUCCUGUAGUUCGUGGAUAGUCCAUGAGCUUUCUCAUGUUCCAGCCAGACAACUGCUGCCCAAUCUGUCACUCUGCUCAACACACAACAAUGCACACGUAGGGAGUUCCUGUCGUAGUGUAGUGGUUAAUGAAUCCGACUAGGAACCAGGAGAUUGCGAGUUCAGUCCCUGCCCUUGCUCAGUGGGUUAACGAUCCGGCGUUGCCGUGAGCGGUGGUGUAGGUUGCAGACAAGGCUCAGAUCCCGUGUUACUGUGGCUCUCUGGCCUCGGCUGGCAGCUACAGCUCCAAUUGGAUCCCUAGCCUGGGAACCUCCAUAUGCCGCAGGAGCGGCCCAAGAAAUGGCAAAAAGACAAAAAAAAAAAAAAGCACACGUAGGCAUGCCACUUUUCACCAUGUAGCCAUAGUCUCAGAUCGACACCUAGAGCUGUUAGAUUUUUACUGAUGUCAGUGAAGAACUAAUUUUGUCUCUUCUGUUUCCUAGAUGUUGAAUAUGUUGGAUGCUGGUCUUUUCUUGGGGCCUUUUGGCCUCAGAUAUUGACAGAAGCUCAUGUGCCUGGAAGGAAAGAAGAUAAAAACGGCAUCAAUGUUUUAUCAGCCCUGGACUGUCUAGAGAAUUCUGAUGUAUUAUUUAUGUGUUUUUAUGUACAAAUCGUUUAUGUAGUACCUCAAUGGAUCAUCGCUCUAAACCAAAAAUGGGGAAACUGAAUUGCUGGCAAAUAAUGCGAUUUCAUCAACAAGCACCAGUUCCUAAAUGGCUAAGCCUGAAUUUGUACUUUCAUCUUUCAGACACAGAUGCUAUGUUUUCAGUUCUAACUUGAGAAAUAGUCUAGGUCAAUCUGUGUCUCAUAUGCAGUGUUUAUGAACUGCUAAUGAUCUCUCAUAAG
rnacentral:lncRNA from 1 species